GCUCCUCCAUCCCACGACCUGCCCCACCCACACCUCUCUCCCCCGUGCUCCUCCAUCCCAUGGCGUCGCCGCCUCCCUCCCCGCGCCCCACUGCAGCACCGCCGCCGCCCUCGCGCACCCGCGCAGCCGUCUCCCCAGUGCCCUCGCGACCCAUGCGCCUCCUCGCCGCCCAGGCCAUGGAUCCGGCCAUGCCGCGGCGGACAGGCGACGGAUCCAGCCCCGCUGCACCGCCCAGGCGCCGGGGUCGAGCGUCGCCGUUCCCCACCGUUGUCCCGGCGACUGCCCCCAACCCCCUCCAACUCCCCUCGUCCUUGCCCCCCGAGCAGCAACAUGGAUCCGGCGGGCGGUGCACACCCUUACCUCCACCAGCCCGAGCGCCCCGCUGGCGUGCCUCCAGCACUGGCUCUGUGCGGCGCAGCAGUCCACUCCUCCCCACGCCGCCCACACCCUCCCAUCUACCGGAUCAGGUCGCGGCUCCCCUCGUGCUCGUAUCUUCCUCCCCUCCGGUAGCUCCACUCCGGCCCCAGCGGAACCACUCCUCUAGCUCAAUAUCCAUGGAGGUGAAGCCUCGAUGGUGCUCACGUCUGUGAAAGCAGUGUGCUCAGGUGGAAACAUAUAUUUUUGUUUCUGCUCACUGAUGGUUCCCCGUGCAGUCCGACGACCACGGACGUGUAGCUCGCAGGCAUGAGAUGUGGUUCAGUGCUCCUGUGGGUGUAGUUCAUGAGCGCGUCGGCGACGAUGGCAUCAACGCAGUGCACUCCGGUAGUUGCCGUGGUGCACUCUGGUGGCCGUUGUGGUACAGCUCAGUGGCUGGCCAGCUUGGUGACGCGACAGGUGCAGUCAGCUGAGCAGACACUCUUCUCCAAGCGAGAAGAGGAGGGCGAUCUUGGUUCCUGUCCACGUGCAGUUUCAGGGAGUAAAUUGCACAGAAGUACCACAAUUGGGGCAUUAGAAGCAGAUUGGUACCAAGAUUGGUAAUUUUUACGUGUCCGUACCAAGUCUGGGGCAAGCCGUUACAAAAAGGUCUAAACAGCGUAUAAACGUGUAUUGACGGUGUAUCUGACCGGUAGGGUUCAGUGAGGUAGGGUGCGGGCACGGGAGGCGCACAGGAGGCCGAAUCCGGCGAGGUAGGGUGCGGGCACGGGAGGCGCACAGGAGGCCGGCUCCGGUGAGGUAGGGCGCGGGCACGGGAGGCGCAGAGGAGGCCGGAUCCGGCGAGGUAGGGCGCGGGCACGGGAGGCGCAGAGGAGGCCGGAUCCGGCGAGGUAGGGCGCAGGAACGGGAGGCGCAGAGGAGGCCGGAUCCGGCGAAGUAGGGCGCUGGGGCGUUGCGGUCAAAGGGGAGGAGGCGGCGCGAUGCAGGGGCUCCAGCGUCGAGGAACGAAGGGGAUGGACGGAUCUGAGGCUCUCCAGCGCGGAUUGGCCGGGAACCAAGGCGGCGCGUCGGGUUGGAGCUACGGGAGGCCAUCCAUGGCGGCUUGACGUCGGGCUCCUGUCCAAUGGGCAAGAGAGAGAGAGAGCUCCGGGUGAGAGAGAGAGAAGAGAAAAUGGAAGAAAGAAGAAAAGGAGAGAGGCAGGGUGCGGGGAAAAGAAGGAGAGAGGCAGGGUGCGGGGAUGGCCUGGUCCUGGUCGCUGGUGGUGAUGCUCGAACGGCCGGCCGGCGGCGAGGCGAGGAGGAGGCUAGGGCGGGGCGAGGGUUAUGGGAAGCGAAGGAGCUUGGGAUCGAGGGGCUCCUCCCUCGAUCCAGAUCGUGCGCCACCGCGGUGGAGACGACGAACAACAGCGCCAGCGAAAUAGGGGGGUUUCUGCGAAAAACAUGCCACGUCGGCACCCGACAGGCGGGGUGCGCCGGUCAGAUACACCGUCAAUACGUGUUUAUACGCUGUUUAGACCUUUUUGUAACGGCUUGCCCCAGACUUGGUGCUGACACGUAAAAAUUACCAAUCUUGGUACCAAUCUGCUUGUAAUGGCCCAAUUGUGGUACUUCUGUGCAAUUUACUCAGUUUCAGGCGAUGCGCCCAUGCGGUGUGGAGCACAUGUGCAUGUAGUCCAUCGGCCAUGCAUGUAGUAUAGGUCGCAUAGUGGUGUAAUUCAUCGCUGAACCUGUGUUGUAGUUUUAGGUCGCAUAGUGGCGUGUGUGAUGCAGUUUUGCGUCUCCUCUCGGGUGGACACAUAGCUGCACCCCAGAUCGCCCAGUACUGCAACCCCUUCCUUCCUUUACUUAUUUUUUGCAGGAAAGAAAGUGGUGCAUUUCGGUUGGAUGUCCCGUUGGAGUUUGACCUUGUGCCAUUUCAGAUUAUACUGUGUAGUGCGACAUGAGUUUCUCUGCUUGGGGUGCUCUGGUACAGUAUGUACUUGUACGGCUGUGUAAAAAAUUAUGAAUUUGUGUGUUGAGCAUUCUGAAGCACUGAUGUUAUUUUUUUACUUCGAGAAAACAUGACGUGGUCCAUUA